GGACCUGUGGCGCAAUCGGUUAGCGUGUGGUACUUAUACAACCGUAUGCCUAUAAACAAUGCUGAGGUUGUGAGUUCAAGCCUCACCAGGAACA
rnacentral:tRNA from 1 species